GUCUAUGGCCGUACCACCCUAAAAGUGCCUGAUCUUUUCUGAUCUCAGAAACUAAGCAGGCUUGAGUCUGGUUAGUACUUGGAUGGGAGAUACCUAUUUCAUACCUC
rfam:Pongo abelii chromosome 3.